rnacentral:rRNA from 1 species
GACGUAGGUGGCGAACGUUAUCCGGAAUUAUUGGGCGUAAAGGGUGUGUAGGCGGCAUGAUAAGUUAUUGGCGGGAAAUCGAGGCUCAACCUCGUGGAAACUAAUAAUACUGUUUUGCUUGAGUACAGGAGAGGUUAACGGAACUCCAUGUGGAGCGGUAAAAUGUGUAGAUAUAUGGAAGAACAUCAAUAACGGCGAAGGCAGUUAACUAUUCUGUUACUGACGUUGAGGCACGAAAGCGUGGGGAGCAAAACGG